rnacentral:rRNA from 1 species
GCUCUGUGGGAUCAGUGGCGAACGGGUGAGUAACACGUGAGCAACCUACCCCUGACUCUGGGAUAAGCGCUGGAAACGGCGUCUAAUACUGGAUAUGUGGCGUGACCGCAUGGUCUGCGUCUGGAAAGAAUUUCGGUUGGGGAUGGGCUCGCGGCCUAUCAGCUUGUUGGUGAGGUAAUGGCUCACCAAGGCGUCGACGGGUAGCCGGCCUGAGAGGGUGACCGGCCACACUGGGACUGAGACACGGCCCAGACUCCUACGGGAGGCAGCAGUGGGGAAUAUUGCACAAUGGGCGCAAGCCUGAUGCAGCAACGCCGCGUGAGGGAUGACGGCCUUCGGGUUGUAAACCUCUUUUAGCAGGGAAGAAGCGAAAGUGACGGUACCUGCAGAAAAAGCGCCGGCUAACUACGUGNCCAGCAGCCGCGGUAAUACGUAGGGCGCAAGNCGUUAUCCGGNAAUUAUUGGGCGUAAAGAGCUCGUAGGCGGUUUGNUCGCGUCUGCUGUGAAAUCCGGAGGCUCAACCNUCCGGCCUGCAGUGGGUACGGGCAGACUAGAGUGCGGUAGGGGAGAUUGGAAUUCCUGGUGUAGCGGUGGAAUGCGCAGAUAUCAGGAGGAACACCGAUGGCGAAGGCAGAUCUCUGGGCCGUAACUGACGCUGAGGAGCGAAAGGGUGGGGAGCAAACAGGCUUAGAUACCCUGGUAGUCCACCCCGUAAACGUUNGGGAACUAGUUGUGGGGUCCAUUCCACGGAUUCCGUGACGCAGCUAACGCAUUAAGUUCCCCGCCUGGGGNAGUACGGCCGCAAGGCUAAAACUCAAAGGAAUUGACGGGGACCCGCACAAGCGGCGGAGCAUGCGGAUUAAUUCGAUGCAACGCGAAGAACCUUACCAAGGCUUNGACAUNAUACGAGAACGGGCCAGAAANUGGUCAACUCUUUGGACACUCGUAAACAGGUGGUGCAUGGUUGUCGUCAGCUCGUGUCGUGAGAUGUUGGGUUAAGUCCCGCAACGAGCGCAACCCUCGUUCUAUGUUGCCAGCACGUAAUGGUGGGAACUCAUGGGAUACUGCCGGGGUCAACUCGGAGGAAGGUGGGGAUGACGUCAAAUCAUCAUGCCCCUUAUGUCUUGGGCUUCACGCAUGCUACAAUGGCCGGUACAAAGGGCUGCAAUACCGCGAGGUGGAGCGAAUCCCAAAAAGCCGGUCCCAGUUCGGAUUGAGGUCUGCAACUCGACCUCAUGAAGUCGGAGUCGCUAGUAAUCGCAGAUCAGCAACGCUGCGGUGAAUACGUUCCCGGGUCUUGUACACACCGCCCGUCAAGUCAUGAAAGUCGGUAACAC